rnacentral:rRNA from 1 species
AGAGUUUGAUCAUGGCUCAGAAUCAACGCUGGCGGCGUGCCUAACACAUGCAAGUCGAACGCGAAAGCCCCGCAAGGGGCAAGUAGAGUGGCAAACGGGUGAGUAACACGUGGGUGACCUGCCUUCGAGCGGGGGAUAACGUCCCGAAAGGGACGCUAAUACCGCAUGACAUCCUGCCUUUGAAGAGGCGGAGAUCAAAGCUGGGGAUCGCAAGACCUAGCACUCGAAGAGGGGCCCGCGCCUGAUUAGCUAGUUGGUGGGGUAAUGGCUCACCAAGGCGACGAUCAGUAGCCGGCCUGAGAGGGCGGACGGCCACACUGGGACUGAGACACGGCCCAGACUCCUACGGGAGGCAGCAGUGGGGAAUUGUUCGCAAUGGGCGCAAGCCUGACGACGCAACGCCGCGUGGAGGACGAAGACCUUCGGGUCGUAAACUCCUUUCGAUCGAGACGAAUGGCCUUCGGGUGAAUAGCCCGGAGGAGUGACGGUACCGAGAGAAGAAGCCCCGGCUAACUCCGUGCCAGCAGCCGCGGUAAUACGGGGGGGGGCAAGCGUUGUUCGGAAUUACUGGGCGUAAAGGGCUCGUAGGUGGCCAACUAAGUCAGACGUGAAAUCCCUCGGCUUAACCGGGGAACUGCGUCUGAUACUGGAUGGCUUGAGUUUGGGAGAGGGAUGCGGAAUUCCAGGUGUAGCGGUGAAAUGCGUAGAUAUCUGGAGGAACACCGGUGGCGAAGGCGGCAUCCUGGACCAACACUGACACUGAGGAGCGAAAGCCAGGGGAGCAAACGGGAUUAGAUACCCUAGUAGUCC